rnacentral:lncRNA from 1 species
GAAGAGAAUAAAGUGCCAUUGCCGAGAGAGAGAGAGAGAGAGAGAGAGAGAGAGAGAGAGAGAGAGAGAGAGAGAGAGAGAAUGUGUGGUUUUACUUUGUAUAACUGUGUGUGUGUGUGUGUGUGUGUGUGUGUGUGUGUGUGUGUGUGUGUGUGGUUUUGCUUUGUAUAACUUAGACUCUUCCUAGACCCUGUGGAUGCCCUGGCAGUUCUUCUCAUGACUUAUUGAUGUUGUGAUCAUCUGGACCCUAGUACACCCAACUUUUCUAAUUGCUCAUCCAUUCUUCUGCCUCCUCUAGUUUCUUUGUCUCUGAAGUAACCAUUCUUGUCUUCCCAAAUUUGUAUGAUCCAGUUAGAAGAAAACUCCUUUGUCCUGACGGCAGGGUGAAGUUCAUGACAGAUUUUCCUAAAGCAUCUACCACCAUUGUUCGGCUUCUGUGACCUUUCACUUUCUCCACAUCUCUGGAGAUCAGUAAAAUGUUUCUUCUUUCCUAGGUAUCAGCCUCACCCCUCUUUUGUUGUUGUUGUUGUUUGGGUUUUUGUUGCUGUUUGUUGUUUGUUUGUUUUUGUUUUUCAAGACAGGGUUUCUCUGUGUGGCCUUGUGUCUAGCAACUUGCUCUAAAAGUCAGGGUGGCCUUGAACUCUGAGUUCUACAUCCCUCUGCCUCAGAGAAGGCCCACACUUAUACCACGCUCAGCAGCUGUCUGGCAUGAUAGGGUCUGUGGUAGGAAAUCAGAAUAUUGGACCUCACUCCAAGCCUAUUGUACCUUGCCUGCCACUGAACCAGAUGCCAAGGGCACAUGUGUACACCUGAGCUUUGAAGUGUUGCUUGGGAACCUAUGGUUUUCCCUGCUUUUUUCCCAAGUAGUGCUGAGAUUAAAGGUAUGUACCAACCAACACACACCAGCAGUUUCCCUGUAACAAUACAGCAUUCGUAUAAAGGGCUGUUCAGUUUAAAGCAACCCCAUAGACUUAGUCUCCUAGGACUGAAGUUGCACAAAUAGGAAAAAGCAAUGCAUGCUGUGUCUUGUCCUCCACCUUUUGGACCACUGGUAGGCAUGGAGAGCUGAUUGGUAAAAAUCUGAUUGGCUUUUUUUUUUUUUUUUUGCAACGUGUUUUGCGAAAGAUGUUUGGAAGCGGCCUAAAUCUUAUUUAUUCUCUUGAGGUUAU